rnacentral:rRNA from 1 species
UACGAUGGGGGCAAGCGUUGUUCGGAAUUAUUGGGCGUAAAGGGCGCGUAGGCGGUGUCGCAAGUCCGUGGUGAAAUCUCUAGGCUCAACUUAGAGACUGCCGCGGAAACUGCGGUGCUUGAGUGUGGGAGAGGUGCGUGGAAUUCCCGGUGUAGCGGUGAAAUGCGUAGAUAUCGGAAGGAACACCAGUGGCGAAGGCGACUUCCUGGACAGAUACUGACACUGAGGCACGAAAGCAUGGGGAGCAAACAGG